AAUCAACGCUGGCGGCGUGCCUCAGACAUGCAAGUCGAACGAGAACCCUCCCUUCGGGGAGGGACGAGUGGCGCACGGGUGAGUAACACGUGGGUAAUUUACCUUUGGGUGGGGAACGAACAGCCGGAAACGGCUGCUAAUACCGCAUAAUGCAGCGGCUCGACAUCGAGACAGUUGUUAAAGCGGGGGAUCGCAAGACCUCGCGCCUGAAGAGAAGCCUGCGGCGGAUUAGCAGUUGGUAGGGUAAGUGGCCUACCAAGGCGACGAUCUGUAACCGGCCUGAGGAGGGGCGGUCGGUCACACUGACACUGACA
rnacentral:rRNA from 1 species